GUGGAUUAGAUACCCUAGUAGUCCUGGCAGUAAACGGUGCACGCUUGGUGUGAGGGGAAUCGACCCCCCUUGUGCCGGAGCAAACGCGUUAAGCGUGCCGCCUGGGAAGUACGGUCGCAAGACUAAAACUCAAAGAAAUUGACGGGGACCCGCACAAGCGGUGGAGUAUGUGGCUUAAUUCGAUGCAACGCGAAGAACCUUACCUGGGCUUGACAUGCCUCUCUAAGCGCGUGAAAGCGCGUGACCCUUCGGGGGAUUGGCACAGGUGCUGCAUGGCCGUCGCCAACU
rnacentral:rRNA from 1 species